AGACAGUUCGGUCUCUAUCCGAUGCAGCCGUAAGUGAACUGAGAAAGGUUGUCCCUAGUACGAGAGGACCGGGACGAACGCAGCUCUCGUGUGACAGUUGUCCUGCCAAGGGCAUGGCUGUUUUGCGACCUGCGGGUGGGAUAAGCGCUGAAAGCAUCUAAGUGCGAAGCCCGUUUCAAGAUAAGUUCACUCACUGGGUUAACCAGGUAAGGCCCGUGGCCAGACGACCACGUUGAUAGGCCGGAAGUGUACGUGCGGUAACGCAUUUAGCUGACCGGUACUAAUCGGCCGAGGGCUUGGAAUU
rnacentral:rRNA from 1 species